UGUAAGCGUAUACCAAAGUUGUUGCAGUUAAAACGCUCGUAGUCGGAAUUUGGCAGUUCCGGAUGUGUGCACGUCGUGUGCGCACUUCGCGGGGAUUGCUUUUGUGGUCUUGCGUAGGAUGAGGCACUUUUAUUAGUGAACGUCCUCACGCAACCACUUUUUACUGUGAGAAAAUCAGAGUGCUCAAAGCAGGCAUUUGCCGUGAAUGUAUUAGCAUGGAAUAAUAGAAUAGGACUUGGUUCUAUUUUGUUGGUUUGUUGGGACUGAGUAAUGAUUAAGAGGGACAGUUGGGGGCAUUUGUAUUUCGGUGCUAGAGGUGAAAUUCUUAGAUUACCGAAAGACAAACUGCUGCGAAAGCGACUGCCAAGGAUGUUUUCAUUGA
rnacentral:rRNA from 1 species